UGUCCAGGGGGCCGCCUUCGCCACCGGUAUUCCUCCAGAUCUCUACGCAUUUCACCGCUACACCUGGAAUUCUACCCCCCUCUACAAGACUCUAGUUUGCCAGUUCGAAAUGCAAUUCCCAGGUUGAGCCCGGGGCUUUCACAUCUCGCUUAACAAACCGCCUGCGCACGCUUUACGCCCAGUAAUUCCGAUUAACGCUUGGACCCUCCGUAUUACCGCGGCUGCUGGCACGGAGUUAGCCGGUCCUUCUUCUGUAGGUAACGUCACAGCUGCAAGGUAUUAACUUACAACCUUUCCUCCCUACUGAAAGUGCUUUACAACCCGAAGGCCUUCUUCACACACGCGGCAUGGCUGCAUCAGGGUUUCCCCCAUUGUGCAAUAUUCCCCACUGCUGCCUCCCGUAGGAGUCUGGGCCGUGUCUCAGUCCCAGUGUGGCUGAUCAUCCUCUCAGAACAGCUAGGGAUCGUCGCCUUGGUGAGCCAUUACCUCACCAACUAGCUAAUCCCACCUAGGUUCAUCCAAUCGCGGAAGGCCCGAAGGUCCCCUCCUUUCCCCCGUAGGGCGUAUGCGGUAUUAGCAGUCGUUUCCAACUGUUAUCCCCCACGACUGGGCAGAUCCCUAGGCAUUACUCACCCGUCCGCCGCUCGCC
rnacentral:rRNA from 1 species